rnacentral:rRNA from 1 species
GAGUCUUAAUUGGGCGUUAAGUUGCAGGGUAUAGACCCGAAACCCGGUGAUCUAGCCAUGGGCAGGUUGAAGGUUGGGUAACACUAACUGGAGGACCGAACCGACUAAUGUUGAAAAAUUAGCGGAUGACCUGUGGCUGGGGGUGAAAGGCCAAUCAAACCGGGAGAUAGCUGGUUCUCCCCGAAAGCUAUUUAGGUAGCGCCUCGUGAAUUCAUCUCCGGGGGUAGAGCACUGUUUCGGCUAGGGGGCCAUCCCGGCUUACCAACCCGAUGCAAACUGCGAAUACCGGAGAAUGUUAUCACGGGAGACACACGGCGGGUGCUAACGUCCGUCGUGAAGAGGGAAACAACCCAGACCGCCAGCUAAGGUCCCAAAGUCAUGGUUAAGUGGGAAACGAUGUGGGAAGGCCCAGACAGCCAGGAUGUUGGCUUAGAAGCAGCCAUCAUUUAAAGAAAGCGUAAUAGCUCACUGGUCGAGUCGGCCUGCGCGGAAGAUGUAACGGGGCUAAACCAUGCACCGAAGCUGCGGCAGCGAACGUAUCACUUAAAGCGAUUCAGCGGGUUACGAUUGACGGAGCGAAGCGACGUCAAAGCGUAUACAAAGUCGAGUCGGUUUAAGGAUACGUUCGUUGGGUAGGGGAGCGUUCUGUAAGCCUGUGAAGGUGGCCUGUGAGGGUUGCUGGAGGUAUCAGAAGUGCGAAUGCUGACAUAAGUAACGAUAAAGCGGGUGAAAAGCCCGCUCGCCGGAAGACCAAGGGUUCCUGUCCAACGUUAAUCGGGGCAGGGUGAGUCGACCCCUAAGGCGAGGCCGAAAGGCGUAGUCGAUGGGAAACGGGUUAAUAUUCCCGUACUUGGUGUUACUGCGAAGGGGGGACGGAGAAGGCUAUGUUGGCCGGGCGACGGUUGUCCCGGUUUAAGCGUGUAGGUGUGUGUUCCAGGUAAAUCCGGUUCACUUUAACACUGAGGCGUGAUGACGAGGCACUACGGUGCUGAAGUAACAAAUGCCCUGCUUCCAGGAAAAGCCUCUAAGCAUCAGGUAACAUCAAAUCGUACCCCAAACCGACACAGGUGGUCAGGUAGAGAAUACCAAGGCGCUUGAGAGAACUCGGGUGAAGGAACUAGGCAAAAUGGUGCCGUAACUUCGGGAGAAGGCACGCUGACACGUAGGUGAAGUGAUUUACUCAUGGAGCUGAAGUCAGUCGAAGAUACCAGCUGGCUGCAACUGUUUAUUAAAAACACAGCACUGUGCAAACACGAAAGUGGACGUAUACGGUGUGACGCCUGCCCGGUGCCGGAAGGUUAAUUGAUGGGGUCAGCGCAAGCGAAGCUCCUGAUCGAAGCCCCGGUAAACGGCGGCCGUAACUAUAACGGUCCUAAGGUAGCGAAAUUCCUUGUCGGGUAAGUUCCGACCUGCACGAAUGGCGUAAUGAUGGCCAGGCUGUCUCCACCCGAGACUCAGUGAAAUUGAACUCGCUGUGAAGAUGCAGUGUACCCGCGGCAAGACGGAAAGACCCCGUGAACCUUUACUAUAGCUUGACACUGAACAUUGAGCCUUGAUGUGUAG